rnacentral:rRNA from 1 species
UAGAGACUCAGAGCUGCAUAUCAAUAAGCGGAGGAAAAGAAACUAACAAGGAUUCCCCUAGUAACGGCGAGUGAAGCGGGAAGAGCUCAAAUUUGAAAUCUUCAAGGGUUUCCCUUGACGAAUUGUAGUUUAAAGAAGUGUUUUCUGUUAGAGAGGUGGUAAAAGUUCUUUGGAAUAGGACAUCAUAGAGGGUGAGAAUCCCGUAUUUGAUCACUUUCUACUAACGUUGUGAUACACUUUCAAAGAGUCGGAUUGUUUGGGAAUGCAGUCCAAAAUGGGUGGUAAAUUUCAUCUAAAGCUAAAUAUUGGCGAGAGACCGAUAGCGAACAAGUACCGUGAGGGAAAGAUGAAAAGAACUUUGAAAAGAGAGUUAAACAGUACGUGAAAUCGUCAAAAGGGAAGCGUUUGACACCAGUGUUGUUUUCUCGAAAAUCUAUUAAAAAUGGCUUGAUUUUGUGUUGUAUUGACUUUAUCGGCUUUCUGCACUCUUUUCAUUGUCUUUUUUAAUGCACUUUUCGUUUAACAAGUCAACAUCAAUUUCUUUUGUUGUAAAAGGGUCAUUGGAAGGUGGCUUUCUUUUCGGAGAAAGUGUUUAUAGCCUUUGAUCUCUGCAAUCCGGAGAGACUGAGGUCUGCAGCGUAGACUCCUUCGGGGUUAGAUGCAUUUGUGCUAAGCUAUAGCCUUUUAUAGACAACUUGUUGACUAUGAUUAGUCAUUGUAGCUUACUCGCUUAUGCUAUUUUACCUACGCUUAGGAUGUUGAUAUGCAUGACUGAUAU